rnacentral:rRNA from 1 species
UCAAUAUAAAUUGAUAUUAGGAUUUAUUUAUUAAUUUAUUAUGUUUAAUUAAUUAAUUAUUAAAAAUAAUUAUAUAAUUUAUAGUUUUAGUAAAUUUUAUUGAACUAAUUAUUUUAAUAAUAGUGUAUUAGUACUGUGAGGGAUUAUUGAAAUAAUUUGAAAAAUUUUUAAUAAUAAAGAAAAUUUAUUUUAUUGUACCUUGUGUAUCAGGGUGGAUUAAAUAAAUAAUAUUAAUUUUAUUAUUCUCGAUUUUAUAAGAGUUAAUUAUAUAUUUAAGUUAAUGUUUUAUAAUUAUUUAUAAUAUAUAGUUAGUAAUGAAAUGUUAUUCGUUUAUAAUGGUAUCUAGUUUUUUUAGAAAUGAAUUUAAUUCAUUAGUUUUUAAUUUUUAAUUUUAUUUUUUAAUUUAAAAAUUUAUAAACUACAAUAUUUUAAGGGAUAAGCUUUGAAAUAAAUAUUUAAAAAUUUAUUUUAUGUUUAAAAAUGUAUACAUAUAAUUUGUAAUCAUUUAUGAGUUUGUUAUAAAUUAUUAAUAAUUUAAUAUAAAAUUUAUUAAGUUUUAAGUUUUUAUGAAAAUUUUUUAUUUAUUUAUAAUAUAGAAUUAAUAAUGAUUUAAUUAGUUUAUUUUUUUAUAUAUAUAUAUAUAUAUAUUGUUUUGAUAUUUUUAUUUGGUAAGUUUAUAUAAAGAACUCGGCAAAUAAAUAUACUCGCCUGUUUAACAAAAACAUGUCUUUUUGUAAUUAAUUUAAAGUCUGACCUGCCCAAUGAUAGUAUUUAAUGGCCGCAGUAUUUUAACUGUGCAAAGGUAGCAUAAUCAUUAGUCUUUUAAUUGAAGGCUGGUAUGAAUGGUUGAACGAAGUAUAAUCUGUUUCAUAUAAAAUUAUAAUAUAAUUUUAUUUUUUAGUUAGAAAGCUAAAAUAUAUUUAAAAGACGAGAAGACCCUAUAAAUCUUUAUAUUUUUAUAUAUUUUAAUUUUAUAGAGUUAUUUUAUUAUUAAUUAUAAAAAUAUUUUAUUGGGGUGAUAUUAAAAUUUAAAUAACUUUUAAUUAAAUUUAACAUUGAUUUAUGAAUUAUUGAUCCUUUAUUAUGGAUUAUAAAAUUAAGUUACUUUAGGGAUAACAGCGUAAUUUUUUUGGAGAGUUCUUAUCGAUAAAAGAGAUUGCGACCUCGAUGUUGGAUUAAGAUAAAAUUUUAGGUGUAGCAGCUUAAAUUAUAAGUCUGUUCGACUUU